rnacentral:misc_RNA from 1 species
AGAGAUUUGCUGCGUGAUUCAAUGACAGCUUUCAAAUUACAGGGACAUUACCGAGGAGAAUGAGCCCUAUCUCUCCCCAGUGGCUCUACCCAGAGAAGAUGAGAAAUCAAAAUGAUCUCAAGCAAUGAUAUGCGUGUGAAUCCUUCCUUUCAGAUUAUACUUUGAAUGCAUAAAGAAUAUCCAAAAUCCCUAACACUGAGAUAAAGUUUUACUUUUCCUUUUGCAAAAUUUUUUUUUCAAGGUCCUGAAGUUUUUCAUGGGUUCACUAAAUUUGGUAGCUCAAUUUAGAAAUUUCCCAUACUUCGGGUCAUAGAAACUUUCAGCUUUUGUUAUUUUGCAUGUCAGCUGAAACUUCCAAAUGAAAUUCGAGUCAUCUAAGCCAUCACAAUUUUUGUUGCAAAGUAAUUAGUCCUCAGUCCUCACAAAUUUAGUAUAUUCCAAUUCAUUCAGUUCUUGACAACUUCUAGAGGAAUUGAGAUGCUUGUGUGGUUUCCUUGUGAACUUAUUCUAUCAGGAUCUCAUAUUCACUAUCAGACCAUAUUAUUUGUAGAUUUCAAUUUAAUUUCUUAUGCCUUUGAUGUUUUGUAAAUUUUACAAGCAUGAGUUCCACAAAUUAUGUUGACUCAAUCUCACAUUAGCUUUUAGUUCAUGGAAAAUUGUAACCAUCCACAAAUUCAGGUCAUAAUGUCACUGUUACCUGCAUUAUUAUAUUUCAGAUUGAGUUAACUUAGUUAUGAUGUAUAACUAAAAUCCUCAGUUGCGUAGGCUUGUGAGUUUGUGCUGAACAGUAUUAGGACAGAUUAAGGCUUCAUAUCCAUGCAUAGAGAGUAAAUAAGAGCUGAACCCAACUAGCAAAUCUUUGGUCAAAGACUAGUUUGGCUAGACGCUUCUCUCAAACUUUU